CGCAAAGGCUACUUCCUGUGUUUUGAUUGCUGACGUCUGGAGUGAAAUUCAUUCAAAUUAUCAUUUAAAACUUUGUUAUCUCGACGAGACAUAAACAAUGACACGAGGGAACCAGCGUGAGAAGUCUCGAGAGAAGGCAGUUAAACUUCAAAAAGAGAAGGAGAAGAAGAAGGCUGCUGGAGAUAAAGGAGCUAACAAGGGUCUUACACUGGAAGAGAGAAAACACCGAGAUGCUGAAAUUAUGCGUCAAAAGCAGUUGGCAAAGCAGGGAGGUGCGCAAGGAGGGGCGGAGGGAGGUGCAAGUAAAUAACAGCCCCUGAAGAGGACAGGAACUCAUCUGAAGACCCCUCAUUUGAACUUUGCAUGAGAGUAGAUACACUUUACUUUGCUGACAACUGUUGCCAUUGUCUGUUGUGCUAACUUUGGUAGAAUCAGUUACGUGUUCAUUAUACAGGAAACAGUGUUCACUGUAUCACAAAUCAGCUCAUUCAGCAGUGAUUCAGCUUCAAGAUGUUACACCGCAACGAGAAUAGAAAAAUCUUGAAUAUAGAAUUGUGAUCGACAAGUUGGAAACUAGCUGUUAAUGUGACUACACUGUGUUAAGCCAACCAAUUUUGUCAAUAUUGCAUUAAUUACAGACAUGAUACUCAUUGUUCUUUGAUUAAAGCACAACAGAAAUGGAUACAUAAUUUGCCAUUCAUCAUUUUGCUCUUUAUUUCAUGUUGUCUAUCUUAUUUGUUUUGUAUGCUUACAUUAUAAAUAUGCUUUUUUAUUCGUCGUCUAUUUUUACACAAAAAAAUGAUAAAAUCAUUUGUGUCAUAUUCCGGAUUUUCAUUCGGCAUUGAGUCAUGAAAAGUUCAGACUAAAUUAUUCUCCAUGCUAGUUCUAUUACUGCAUAUAUUUGAAGGCUACUUGGAUAUGUUUAGUAGUAAACAAACAGUUAAUCAUUGCUCUACUGUAGUGAUAUUGUGUACAUUAUGAUAUAAUAAAACAUGUGAAAGUUU